rnacentral:rRNA from 1 species
CAGCAGCCGCGGUAACACCGGCGGCCCGAGUGGCGGCCACUAUUAUUGGGCUUAAAGCGUCCGUAGCCGGGUUGGUUAGUCUCCCGGGAAAUCUGGCCGCUUAACGGUCAGAAUUCCGGGAGAUACUGCCAGCCUAGGGACCGGGAGAGGCCGAGGGUAUUCCCGGAGUAGGGGUGAAAUCCUAUAAUCCCGGGAGGACCACCUGUGGCGAAGGCGCUCGGCUGGAACGGGUCCGACGGUGAGGGACGAAGGCCAGGGGAGCAAACCGGAUUAGAUACCCGGGUAGUCCUGGCUGUAAACGAUGCGGACUUUGUGUCGGACAAGCUAUGAGCUUGUCCGGUGCCGGAGGGAAACCGUUAAGUCCGCCGCCUGGGGAGUACGGCCGCAAGGCUGAAACUUAAAGGAAUUGGCGGG